GAAUAUGGCAAAAUUCAAUAAUUAUUAUUAAUUCUGCCAUAUUGGGGGGUAAUUGUUGACACAUAAAAAUUCAGCCCAAAUCGAACAGCCCAGAGAAUAAAGCCCAAUUGGAGGAUCCCCAAAUCAGAUAGCCCAAAGAACGAAAUCCAAUUGAACGAAUCAAGGUGAAUGCCCAAAUAAGGGGCCCAAUAGUGCGGUAACGCCAUCGCCCAAGUUUGCAAGUCGCUCAGAAUCUGAACGAAUAGAGUGGCAUACGGUCGCCCAG
rnacentral:lncRNA from 1 species